UGGGAAAGAAGCUACUGGAGCAUUUGAUUGUUACUCAAAUAUAGCAUGUUAUUUAACCGUGCCUUUUCCGA
rnacentral:tRNA from 1 species